CAUGUAGUUGGGUUGCCAGCUUGACUGUGUGCGGGGGCUUUGGCUCUUUGCCACCAGUGAGGUGCGAGGAAGGGGAGGGAGAGCCACAAGGAACAUCUGGAGAAGCCGAGCCAGGGAAGGGCACACAGCCCCCUGCACAGGGUCCAGGGGUCCUGGGGCUGCGGUGGGCGUGGCCACCAAGAGAGCGGCUCCAGGCCAGGCUUGUUCUGUCGGUGACUGAAGGGUCUUUAAGGCAUUCUUCUGCCUUCAGCUACGGGAAGCAGAGGACAGCUCACCUGAAGUGUUUCCCCAGCUCCAACCCUCUGUGUCCCGCCAUCAAACACACAGACGCACGCCCACAUCUUCAAAAAGAAGAGAAGCCCGCUUCACACCAAAAGGUGUUUCAGAAUAGAGCCUCAUCAUUGAUUCAAGCCCCGCCCAACCUAAGAGACUCCUGAGCUGCUGCUGCCACCGGUGCUGAAAAGAACAGAAGCGGCUUCCCCACACCUGCACGGGCUGAUUUGCACCAAACCGCUCUAAUUAGCACAUUCCAUGCUCUGAUUAGGCUUCCAGGGGAAGCAUGCCAAAUGCCAUUAAUUAUGGAUGUGAUCUUAAAUUAUUCACUUGAAAUGUUUUUUUCCUUGAUAUGCCCCUUUCAUUUCCCACUAACUUUUUGUCACAUCCAAGAAUAGAUCCAAUUAAGCCUCAAGAAGCGGAAGUUGGUUAUGUUAAAGAAAAGAUAAACUGAAAAUGAAUCACUUUUUUUUUCGUCCCAGUCAUGGUGUUGGUGGAAAAUCUGGAAGCGACCAGAAAAGAAAAAGGGAUAUGGUGUUCAUCCCUACCUCUUCUUUCUGUGGAUCUUGGUGCGUUUUGGCUCGUCAAUGCCACCUUGAUCAUUUCUGAUGGGACCCUGGAUGGUGAUUUAUUGGGCUGGCUCCCCAGAAGCAGAUCCUGAGCUGAGAAUUCAUGUGCAAAUGACUUAUUCAGAAAGCUGGAAAGGGGUGGAGGAACCAGGACAGCAAAGGAGAGAAAGCCAGUGCAUAGAACCUAGCAGAGCAGAAAGGAGAAGGAAGGGCGCUCUUGGUGGGGAAAACAUCAGCAAAGUCUUGGAGGCUGAAAUGCACAUGUGAAGACUUUGAGGAAACUGACAUGGUGUGAUGAAUAUUUCUCUUGCGGCAGAGUUGGAGAAAAUGCUCUCCAGAUGUGUCUGUUGUUUCCAGAACUUCCAGCCCAGCUGGUCUCUGUGGUCUCCCUAAUGCUUCUACUGCUGCAGCUGUCCCAAUGUCCUUUCCCAACCUGUCACCCAAGACCAGUACCACAGAGGUAACUCCCUAAGCAGCACAAACCCCUUGGAAGGUGGGGACGGCUGUGAUCCUUUCCUAAGUUGGUCCUUGUCACAGCAAUGAGAGCAGCAGUGGACAAACGGACAAGGUUAGUGAAUGUUUCAGAGGAGAGUGUGUUUGGCCACUGAGGGCCACAGGAGUUUCCCAGAGGGACUAGCAUGAAAGCUGAAAUGUGAAAUACUCCAGGAGGAGGGGAGAGUGUUCUACAGGUUGUACAAAGUCACUACCAUGUAAGGGAGGGUGGCUUGAGGGAAAAUGGUGCACAGUGGCUCCUGUACCUGAAGAGGAAACUCCAGCAUUCGGG
rnacentral:lncRNA from 1 species